ensembl:lncRNA LINC01915 long intergenic non-protein coding RNA 1915
AUAAACAAGAAGGAGGGAUUUCCAAGGGAGCAGAGCAUUAAUAAGGUUUUAUCUACUACAAAGGAUAUCACUUGGGAAGGAAUUUCUUGAAACUGCUCCCAAGAGAGCCAUUGGACCAUGUGGAAUAUUAACAUCAUCCAGAAUGCUAUGGGGAGAAGACAACUGGAAGCUCCGUGUGGACAAACCUCCUGGACUCUGCCCCACAUAUCUCUUCCCUUGGCUGAUUUGAAUUUUUAGAAGCUGACAGCUGACACGCCCUUCCUUUGUGCAUUUUAUCCUGGGACAAAAUGAGAAGACAUCCUUCAGUUCCCAUCUUGGAUGGCAUAACUUCAAAACCAAGGGAGAUGGAGGAGUUUUAGAGGAGUAGAAGGCUGCAAGCAAGAACUGAUGCAUUACAUCUCCAGUCACCUCACUCUAAGAUUGUCCUGUAGCUAAGACUGUUGAAUGAGACUGUUGUUCUUCAGUUUGCAGCCACAAAGCACGGAGGCAUCUCCCCAAGAAUCCACUGCAGGGAGGAUGAACAGCCCUUACCUGGAUUUUUGCUUUAUCUAAAAAUAUAUUUGUAG